CAGCCGCCGCGGUAAUACAGAGGGUGCGAGCGUUAAUCGGAUUUACUGGGCGUAAAGCGUGCGUAGGCGGCUUCUUAAGUCGGAUGUGAAAUCCCUGAGCUUAACUUAGGAAUUGCAUUCGAUACUGGGAAGCUAGAGUAUGGGAGAGGAUGGUAGAAUUCCAGGUGUAGCGGUGAAAUGCGUAGAGAUCUGGAGGAAUACCGAUGGCGAAGGCAGCCAUCUGGCCUAAUACUGACGCUGAGGUACGAAAGCAUGGGGAGCAAACAGGGUUAGAUACCCCAGUAGUCCCUGUCUCUUAUAC
rnacentral:rRNA from 1 species